rnacentral:ncRNA from 1 species
ACGGGAAUUCAGCCUCCCGGUCCCCUCGGAUAGACGGUGUCCCGUCCAAGCGCUG